rnacentral:misc_RNA from 1 species
AAGUAAAAUCUAAAAAAAGAAUCGAUUAAAAUAAAUGUCCAUGUUUCUAGGCCAAGACACCAGCAAAAAUAGUUGAUUCGCUGGCGUUCCGCCGAAUGUUCCAUGGCCAUAGAACACUCGAGCCCUUGUUUACAGGCUAAUGCAUUCUCAUCAAACAACAAUUCUCGUAUGGCUGGCAUCCUUCAAAGCUAGAAUUUCAUGGUGAUCUUGUGUAACUGUGCAAUUUUGUGGUGAAACCAUGACCAACGUUUGCAAAGUGCAUGGGAAUACCUCAGAAUGUGUAUCAUCUGAACUAGCGAAACUCAAGAUUGCCGUCGCCUUGGUAGUCAUACGGAGCAAGCCAGCCGACCAAAAUGUCAAGGAUUUCGUUCACAACUUAGUGUUUUUUCAACAAGAUAAAGAGCAGAGAUGGAAAGCCGAAUAUCACCGACUCAAACAAGAAGUUCUACAGUUAAGACAGCAACAACUUUUAUUUUCAAUUAACACCAGGCUCAGUUCACAUUCGAGUGAAGAUUUUCGCAUUAGACCAAACCCUCAUGAUUCUCAACCAGUGUUAACUCCACCCGAUUCGCAAUCAGAUAGUCAGCCAAAUACAACAUUGGCGUUACCGACAUUGGCACCCAACAUCCCUGAAAAUGACAAAGCCGACGCAGAUCACAUGACAUUUCUGCGGGCUUACUUCUAUCUAGAUCAUCAAUUGCGUUUAAAUCGGCCACCACCACCACCACUAAUCGGCCUUAAUAACGAAAUCUUGGAGAAGGACGUGGUGCGACAAAGCGUGCUGUCUGUGUUGCAACAUGUCGAUUCCAACACACCCAAGGAACAAUCAGAUUUUUCGAGAUGUUUGGACAGCUUUCGCGUCUGCGUUCGAUUACUCGACUCUCAUGGCAAAUGGAGUCAAUCCAUGCUGGACAAGUUCAUCGAACUGUCCUCAUGUUGGUUGAAACGGGUGAUGCAGGGUGACAACGUGCUUAGGUACAACGCCCUGCUUGACAUUCUAGCCGAUUCGAACGGGAUGGCUGUACUGCUGGCUGAAACUGUUGUCAAGGCGAUAGCCGAGUCGCACGAGCGGAUGAAUGAGUGGGAGUGGGACGGCGUAGAGCUCAUCCCUCGGCCUGUGUUGACCCACUUCUCCGCUAGUUCCUAUUACUUCCUCUUGUUGGAGAAAACCAUUCCUCGAAUGGGUUCGUCCGAUAGAAGUCGAUUCCAGACCGUUUUAUCCCACGUCGGACAGCGGGUUCACAUCAACUUUCCCCUCUUUGCUGCUUCGAUGAUGCGUCUGGCCUAUCAGCUUGGCAACUGAAUCGAAAAGACGUGCCUGCUCAUUUAUGCCCUCCGAGGCCCUUGAGCUUCACUGGAUCACCAUGGAGUAGGAGGAUUGCUUGGGGAACAAGAUGAACGAGGAAAACGGAUAGAGAGCCGAAGAAGAUGCAAGGAAUUUUAAUAAAAAUACUUCUGUCAUCAUGUUUCGUACACGUUAUCCCGCCCUCUAUUCCACUGGAGUUGCCCGGACCACCAUCUCUUCUUCGGGAACGAGAUGUUUUUCGAUUUCACGUUUCUUCCAUUUGACUCCUUGACAAUGUUGCUUCGCAUAGAUUUCGUUGUUGUCCAACGAAGAGGUCCUCUCUUGCAGUUUAUCUCAUUAUUUUUUACUAUUUUAGUUGUCUAGGUCGUAGCUGUGAACGAUAGACGCUUUGCGCAAUUCGAUCAUUGGCAUGACACCAUUUUCCUGCUAGGAUGAAACAAGAAGAGAAACAUCGGGUGAAUAACAAAAGCACAGGAACACGCACGUCAAAGAAAAGGGAAAGUGAAGGAGCCUUUUUUUUUUUUUCGACGGUUAUUGAACUUUUCUUCACAGGGCAUGGACCAGUUUCUUUUACCAAAAGAUUUAUGUUUUGCUCCAUAAAAAAAACACGAAAUCUU